UACGAAGGGGGCUAGCGUUGCUCGGAAUCACUGGGCGUAAAGGGUGCGUAGGCGGGUUUUUAAGUCAGAGGUGAAAUCCUGGAGCUCAACUCCAGAACUGCCUUUGAUACUGAAAGUCUUGAGUAUGGGGAGAGGUGAGUGGAACUGCGAGUGUAGAGGUGAAAAUUCGUAGAUAUUCGCAAGAACACCAGUGGCGAAGGCGGCUCACUGGCCCAUUCUGACGCUGAGGCACGAAAGCGUGGGGAGC
rnacentral:rRNA from 1 species